ensembl:lncRNA
AUGGAGCCAUCACAGCAGAAGACCAUGAGCCCAGUGAUGGAGUCUGCCAAGGGCUUUGUGCUUGGAGCCAUGGCUGGAGGUACUCUGGGAGCCACAGAGGUACCGCUGAAUCAAAUUAUGUCACAGAUAAUCUCAGGUGCCCAAAUGAAGCCCGUUAUGUCUGGCGUUAAGAGCAUCGGGGCUCUGGGACUGGGUGCACUUCUAGGAACUACUGCACUCAUCACAUCAAUGGCAUUGGUGGUAACGGGGGUCACUGUAGCUGCUUCUGUGGCCUUGUGUCUAUUGAGAUUGAGGAAGAAUGAAGGAUGGGUGGCAGCAGGAUUGGCCGCGGCUCUCACCACGACUUCAAGCGGGGCAGCACUAGGGACCAUCAUUGAAAAUCUGAGCAUGAGCUACGGGAUGGUCAGCCUGCUCUGGGCUUUGGGGAUUUUUACAGUUCUGAAACUAUUGAUGCACUUCUUUGUCAAGCAUACAUGCACAGAACGGGAAUUCUGUGGAUCAAUCGCUGAUGCUACUAAGAGAGAACAAGCAAGACUACUUGCUUUGGAAAUAGAUCUAAGACGGCGGGCUGCAUUGGAAUUGGAAAAGCGGAUUGAGGCCUGCGAGAUGAAGAAACCAGAAGAGGAUGGUCUGGCUGCUUGGGAGGCCCAACGAAGAGAAAGAGAAGAAAUAAAGAGACAGCAAAGGAAGGCUGUUGAGUUGGAAAUGCAGCAGAGGACUUCUCGACAACGCCUGCUGAACGCGGUGGCCAAAUACAUGGAGUUUCUUGCAUUUUCUGACAUUCCGAUGACUGUGACUGCUUUUGUGACUGCUGGCUUUGGCAUCUUUGGCUUUGGAGAUUACAGAUUUGUUUUUGUUGUCCUGUUAGUCAUGGUGUUAUGCAUGUCAUUUUGGCUCAUGAGUUCUUGGCGUUUGAACUUUUGGAUGCUAAUGGGAUGCAUGGGAAUGUUUGCCACAUUUGCCAUUGCCGUGCUGACUGUUCAUGCCGGGCAGGAGGUGGCAGGCAUGUCUGUCAAAAUGCGCUUUGCAGGACAAAACAUGAGCAAGGAGAACAUCAGCAUCCGUAUGACUCAUGCAUCCUCCGUACAGGCAAUUUCUGCAGGAUUCUUUGUCUCAGAAGUCUGUCAGGUUGGUUUAGGGGCCACAGUCGGUGGUCCAGUGGCACGAGAGGCAGGAGGAAAGGUGAUUUUGGGGGCGUCUGUAACCGCUGUGGUUGUUUUGUCGAUAGUUGAAGCGUCGACACAGAUGCUGGGAGUCGGUGGUAAGGCGGGGGCUUUGCUGGGGGCGGCUGGAGCUGCUGGUGUGUCCAUGGGAGGCGCUGCAGCCAUAGCUGUGAAAUCAUCCACAUGGGGAGGAACAAUGGGAACCACUGCUGGGAUGAUCUUUGGCUUAUUGGUGUUUAGAAAGUGGGACAUUGUUAACAUAGGGCUUCAGAUAUUUGUGGCAUACCUGUUUGCCAUGACAAAUCUUUACUGAAAUGCUAUGAUGUAACUGCUCUUUUUAGUAUGGUACUACAGUGGGCAUGGAAAGAAUCAGCAUCAAUAAAAUUGCUUCCUUCUUUUUCUGUUCUCA